rnacentral:rRNA from 1 species
UACGUAGGGGGCAAGCGUUGUCCGGAUUUAUUGGGCGUAAAGAGCGUGUAGGCGGUUUGGUAGGUCCGCUGUGAAAACUCGAGGCUCAACCUCGAGACGCCGGUGGAAACCAUCAGGCUAGAGUCCGGAAGAGGAGAGUGGAAUUUCCGGUGGAGCGGUGAAAUGCGCAGAUAUCAGGAAGAACACCCGUGGCGAAGGCGGUUCUCUGGGACGGUACUGACGCUGAGACGCGAAAGCGUGGGGAGCGAACAGG